UAUUGUAAUGAUAAUUGUGAGAUGCAGUGUAUGGAAUGUCUAUAUUCUAGUAUGAAAAAUUAAUGAUUUAAGUCCUUCUUAAAUGAGGCCAUUUACCCAUAGAGGGUGCCAGGCCCGUAUAACAUUAAUGAUUACUAGAAGAUAUUUCCAAAGAGUCGUGUUGCUUGAUAGUGCAGCACUAAGUUGGUGGUAAACUCCAUCUAAAACUAAAUAUAACCAUGAGACCGAUAGUAAACAAGUACCGUGAGGGAAAGUUGAAAAGAACUCUGAAUAGAGAGUUAAAUAGUACGUGAAACUGCUUAGAGGUUAAACCCGAUGAACCUGAAUAUCCAAUAUAAAGAAUUCAUCAUUAAUAUAUUAAUUAUUAUUAAUAUAAUGGUGUGCAUUUUCUUUAUAUAAUGGACAUUGUAAUCUAUUAAUAUAAUAUAUAUUUAUCAUAAGAUCAUAAACAUAUGUUUAUUUUAAUUAAUUUGUUUCGGCUUAUUAUAUUUAAAAUAAUUGUUAAUGAUUUGAUAAAGUAUUGAUAGAUUAAAUCAUAUGUAUAAUGCUUAAAUUCAAUUAUGAAUUUUAUAAUAUAGCAAUAUAUUAUAAGCAUUUAUACGAUUUACAAUGCGAAAGAUUCAGGAUACCUUCGGGACCCGUCUUGAAACACGGACCAAGGAGUCUAACAUAUGUGCAAGUUAUUGGGAUUUUUAUAUAAAACCCAAAAGCAAAAUUAACAUAACUAUAAUUAAAUGGGAUUAAUUUUUAAUUCAAUAUGAAUUAAUUAUUCAAUCCCAGGGCGUUCUAUACAGUUAUGUAUAAUAGCAUUUAUGUUAUUUAUACCUCUAACUAGAGCGUACCUUGAGCAUAUAUGCUGUGACCCGAAAGAUGGUGAACUAUACUUGAUCAGGUUGAAGUCAGGGGAAACCCUGAUGGAAGACCGAAACAGUUCUGACGUGCAAAUCGAUUGUCAGAAUUGAGUAUAGGGGCGAAAGACCAAUCGAACCAUCUAGUAGCUGGUUCCCUCCGAAGUUUCCCUCAGGAUAGCUGGUGCAUAAUAAAAUAAUCAUAUAUGGUAAAGCGAAUGAUUAGAGGCCUUAGGGUCGAAACGAUCUUAACCUAUUCUCAAACUUUAAAUGGGUAAGCACCUCACCUUUCUUGAUAUGAAGGUGAGGUUAUGAUAAUAUGUGCCCAGUGGGCCACUUUGGUAAGCAGA
rnacentral:rRNA from 1 species